UAAAACAGAAGCAAAGCUGAAACCUUGUAUGACUAGACUGUGUUAAGAACUCAUGAAGGCUUUUAUUUUGGAAAAAAGACAAAGGAAGUGGCUCUGCUAAUGAACUUGUGUAACUUCACCAGUCACUGACUUUUUUUGCAACCAAGUUAAGAUGCACAAAGGGAGAGGACUGACCCUGGUGGUGACCAUGCUGAAUCACAUGACAGCUGCAGCAGUUCCAGCAGAUGCAGCCAGUGGUGCUAAAAAUGCAUUCACUCUGUUUCUGUACAACAAGAGGUCCAUCACAUCAGAUUGACCCAACAUGCAAACUGUCCAAGGAGACCCUGAACUUCUACUCUCACAUCAUGUGAUGCAUAAAGUAAAGAUUGCUCCCAGAGGUGGCAGGAUCUCAGAGGGAUUCUCCAACUAAUCCUAGCACAUCUACCUCACAACAAACCACUUUGGUAUGAAAUCCUAAAUGUUUUGCUCCUGUCAUCUCGAUCAGUUGGUGUAAGGUUGUCAUAAAACUCUAAAAGUCUUUUUCUUGUCAAUGUCAAUGUCAAUGUACUUUAUUUAUACAGCCCUUUACAGCAGUCCUUUUCGGUGUACCAAAGUGCUUUACAGCAGAUAAUAAAUAAAAAGAACAAU